GCCUAAAGAAAUGCCAGGCCUGGGGUUAUUGGUCUCCAGCAUGAAUCAAGUGGAAUUUCCCAGAAAACUUCGUUAACUCGGCGUUUCUUCAAGGGCAGGGAAGCCUUCUCCUUUCGUAGGUAUUGUGAGAGGUUGUCUUCAGAAUUAAGGCAGACUUUUAUUCAGUGUAUUGUAGCACAUAAUGAUGGACCAUCGCUGAGCUCUGCAGGUCUGAGAGAGGAAACUUUACUCAACUGCCGGCAGAAAAUUUAGGAUUCUUUCCGAUGAAGUUAUGAGGCUUGAUCUAUUAAAAAAAAAACCAAAAACAAGAAAGCAUCCUUCAGUGAUGGUGCCCAGAACGUCAUUUAUCAUCAUCCUUUCAUUGGUUACUGUAAACAUAUGUUAAAACUGUGAGCUGGGAAGUUCAUCAACUUUGAUCAAUGGCAGCUUGAUUGACUGUGCAGUUAAGGGACUUGAAGAGGGGAAAAAAAACGUCAGAUUAUAAAAUUUCUGGAUUCCUCAGGCAUAAAUUCUCAUGAAAUUGAAUGCAAGAAACUGUCUGGUCAUGCUGGAGGACUGAAGGUAACUUCAACAAUUUGUUUCUCGAAUUCACCCCACCUUCCUUCUGCUGAGGAAAACAGUGACCUGCCUUCCAAAGAGUGUCAAAAUAAAGAGCUGGGAAACUUUCCCAAGGACGUUGUGUUCUCCCAGGUGACGGUGUCUGAGCUAAGCAGUUGCAGGGAUUUACUGAGUUUUUUUCUGGCACCAGGUGGCCUUUUCUUCUCCUGAGCUCUGCAGGUCCUUCCCAGUCGUCCUCUUGUCAUCAGAACAAGGGCUGGGCAGCAGAGUAAUUCUGUGCCUCCAUUGCACACCAGUGGGUGCCUAUGGAAUCGUGAAAAUUAAAAGCAGAUGAUCGUAUGGAAUGUUGAAGAAA